rnacentral:misc_RNA from 2 species
AGCAGCCGCGGUAAUUCCAGCUCCAAUAGCGUAUAUUAAAGUUGUUGCAGUUAAAAAGCUCGUAGUUGAACUUCGGGGUUUACUCAUUGGUCAGGCUUAAUUGUCUGUACUGGUGAGAUGAAUCUCUACCUUCUGAGGAACUUUCAUGCCAUUUAUUUGGUGUGAUUGGAAAUCAGGACUGUUACUUUGAAAAAAUUAGAGUGUUUAAAGCAGGCUAACGUCUGAAUACAUUAGCAUGGAAUAAUGAAAUAGGACGGAUUGAUUCUAUUUCGUUGGUUUCUAGGGUCACCGUAAUGAUUAAUAGGGAUAGUUGGGGGCAUUAGUAUUCAAUUGUCAGAGGUGAAAUUCUUGGAUUUAUUGAAGACUAACUACUGCGAAAGCAUUUGCCAAGGAUGUUUUCAUUAAUCAAGAACGAAAGUUAGGGGAUCGAAGACGAUCAGAUACCGUCGUAGUUUUAACCAUAAACUAUGCCGACUAGGGAUCGGACGAAGUUAAUUAAUAAUGACGCGUUCGGCACCUU